AGAGACUGAAAGAGAGAGAGAGAGAGACUGAAAGAGAGAGAGAGACUGAAAGAGAGAGAGAGACUGAAAGAGAGAGAGAGAGACUGAAAGAGAGAGAGAGCGACUGAAAGAGAGAGAGACUGAAAGAGAGAGAGACUGAAAGAGAGAGAGAGACUGAAAGAGAGAGAGAGAGAGACUGAAAGAGAGAGAGAGAGAGACUGAAAGAGAGAGAGACUGAAAGAGAGAGAGAGCGACUGAAAGAGAGAGAGACUGAAAGAGAGAGAGAGAGACUGAAAGAGAGAGAGAGAGGGACUGAAACAGAGAUACUAAAAGAGAGAGAGAGACUAAAAGAGAGAGAGAGACUGAAAGAGAGAGAGCGAGAGACUGAAAGAGAGAGAGACUGAAAGAGAGAGAGACUGAAAGAGAGAGAGAGAGAGACUGAAAGAGAGAGAGAGAGAGACUGAAAGAGAGAGAGAGACUGAAAGAGAGAGAGACUGAAAGAGAGAGAGAGCGACUGAAAGAGAGAGAGACUGAAAGAGAGAGAGAGAGACUGAAAGAGAGAGAGAGAGGGACUGAAACAGAGAUACUAAAAGAGAGAGAGAGACUAAAAGAGAGAGAGAGACUGAAAGAGAGAGAGCGAGAGACUGAAAGAGAGAGAGAGAGACUGAAACAGAGAUACUAAAAGAGAGAGAGUGUAUGAGGUCCAGGUGUCUGUGAGAGUGUAUCAGGUCCAGGUGUCUAUAAGAGUGUAUCAGGUCCAGGUGUCUGUAAGAGUGGAUCAGGUCCAGGUGACUGUAAGAGUGGAUCAGGUCCAGGUGACUGUAAGAGUGAUUCAGGUCCAGGUGACUGUAAGAGUGGAUCAGGUCCAGGUGACUGUAAGAGUGGAUCAGGUCCAGGCGUCUGUAAGAGUGGAUCAGGUCCAGGUGACUGUAAGAGUGGAUCAGGUCCAGGUGACUGUAAGAGUGGAUCAGGUCCAGGUGUCUAUAAGAGUGGAUCAGGUCCAGGCCCGUCCUGCUGGUAAAUGUGACAGCACUGGUUCAGAUAGAGAGGACAGGGGACAGUACCUAGAGAUCCGUCUCCCAUUAAUUAUGCUGCAGUGCUGAAGAAGGGAUGUCAGGUGGGAGGAAAGGAGGUAUGGGAUCCUUUCAAGCGUUGCCCAGAUAGUCUGGCAGAGACGCCAGGGAACAGUGACUCAGGGUGGAGUGGAGCCACAGUGUUUUAGAUAAGUAGAUGAAACCGAGGAGCCACAGUGUUUUAGAUAAGUAGACGAAACCGAGGAGCCACAGUGUUCUAGAUAAGUAGAUGAAACCGAGGAGCCACAGUGUUCUAGAUAAGUAGAUGAAACCGAGGAGCCACAGUGUUCUAGAUAAGUAGAUGAAACCGAGGAGCC
ensembl:lncRNA